rnacentral:hammerhead_ribozyme from 1 species
AUCCAGAUGACGAGUCCCAAAUAGGACGAAAUGCACAUCGGGCUGAU